rnacentral:rRNA from 1 species
UACGGGGGGGGCAAGCGUUGUUCGGAAUUACUGGGCGUAAAGGGCUCGUAGGUGGCCAACUAAGUCAGACGUGAAAUCCCUCGGCUUAACCGGGGAACUGCGUCUGAUACUGGAUGGCUUGAGUUCGGGAGAGGGAUGCGGAAUUCCAGGUGUAGCGGUGAAAUGCGUAGAUAUCUGGAGGAACACCGGUGGCGAAGGCGGCAUCCUGGACCGACAUUGACGCUGAGGCGCGAAAGCCAGGGGAGCAAACGGG